rnacentral:rRNA from 1 species
AAAUUGAAGAGUUUGAUCAUGGCUCAGAUUGAACGCUGGCGGCAGGCCUAACACAUGCAAGUCGAACGGUAGCACAGAGAGCUUGCUCUCGGGUGACGAGUGGCGGACGGGUGAGUAAUGUCUGGGAAACUGCCUGAUGGAGGGGGAUAACUACUGGAAACGGUGGCUAAUACCGCAUAACGUCGCAAGACCAAAGAGGGGGACCUUCGGGCCUCUUGCCAUCAGAUGUGCCCAGAUGGGAUUAGCUUGUUGGUGAGGUAACGGCUCACCAAGGCGACGAUCCCUAGCUGGUCUGAGAGGAUGACCAGCCACACUGGAACUGAGACACGGUCCAGACUCCUACGGGAGGCAGCAGUGGGGAAUAUUGCACAAUGGGCGCAAGCCUGAUGCAGCCAUGCCGCGUGUAUGAAGAAGGCCUUCGGGUUGUAAAGUACUUUCAGCGGGGAGGAAGGUGUUGUGGUUAAUAACCACAGCAAUUGACGUUACCCGCAGAAGAAGCACCGG